UAUUAUUCAUCAAGACAUAUACGUCAUAGCCAAUUAACAAACAAUAAAACAUUGAAUAAAAACGUGGAGAAGGGAGAUUGGAAUUUCCAAAAUUCUUAUGAGGCUUUAAUUAAGUCCACUGGGUGCUCGGAAUUAUCAAAUCAUUUCUACAUUUCCAUUCUAAGGGGAAAAAAUAAUUCACCUUCAAUGUUCAAAAGCACUAGGAUAAACCUUACUCUUCAUUAAUAAUACCAUUUAUAACUAGCCCUUGAUUGGGAAGAAAAUCAGACCAAUGUUCUAAAUCUCGUUUUAUUUCAAAUAUAUAAUUUGUGAUUUUUUAAU
rnacentral:lncRNA from 1 species